rnacentral:rRNA from 1 species
UACGUAGGGUGCAAGCGUUGUCCGGAAUUAUUGGGCGUAAAGAGCUCGUAGGCGGUUUGUCGCGUCUGCUGUGAAAACUCGGGGCUUAACCCCGGGCCUGCAGUGGGUACGGGCAGACUAGAGUACUGCAGGGGAGACUGGAAUUCCUGGUGUAGCGGUGGAAUGCGCAGAUAUCAGGAGGAACACCGGUGGCGAAGGCGACUCACUGGACACGUAUUGACGCUGGAGGUGCGAAAGCGUGGGGAGCAAACAGG